UAGGGAAUCUUCGGCAAUGGACGAAAGUCUGACCGAGCAACGCCGCGCGAGUGAAGAAGGUUUUCGGAUCGUAAAACUCUGUUGUUAGAGAAGAACAAGGACGUUAGUAACUGAACGUCCCCUGACGGUAUCUAACCAGAAAGCCACGGCUAACUACGUGCCAGCAGCCGCGGUAAUACGUAGGUGGCAAGCGUUGUCCGGAUUUAUUGGGCGUAAAGCGAGCGCAGGCGGUUUCUUAAGUCUGAUGUGAAAGCCCCCGGCUCAACCGGGGAGGGUCAUUGGAAACUGGGAGACUUGAGUGCAGAAGAGGAGAGUGGAAUUCCAUGUGUAGCGGUGAAAUGCGUAGAUAUAUGGAGGAACACCAGUGGCGAGGGCGGCUCUCUGGUCUGUAACUGACGCUGAGGCGCGAAAGCGUGGGGAGCAAACAGG
rnacentral:rRNA from 1 species